GACGAACGCUGGCGGCGAGCCUAACACAUGCAAGUCGAACGGAGUGUUUAUUUAUAAACACUUAGUGGCGAACGGGUGAGUAACGCGUAGACAACCUACCCUCUAGAUGGGGACAACACCGCGAAAUGGGUGCUAAUACCGAAGGUUGUAAUGUUGUUGCAUAAUGAUAUGACUAAAGGUGGCCGCUAUAAAAAAGCUACCGCUAGAAGUUGGGGCUGCGUCUGAAUAGUUAGUUGGUGAGAUAACAGCUCACCAAGGCAAUGAUCAGUAGCCGGUCUGAGAGGAUGAACGGCCACACUGGUACUGAGACACGGCCCAGACUCCUACGGGAGGCAGCAGUGGGGAAUCUUCCGCAAUGGACGAAAGUCUGACGGAGCAACGCCGCGUGAGUGAAGAAGGUUUUCGGAUCGUAAAGCUCUGUCUUCAAGGACGAAUGUAGAUAUUGUGAAUAAUGAUAUUUAAUGACGGUACUUGAGGAGGAAGCCACGGCUAACUACGUGCCAGCAGCCGCAGUAA
rnacentral:rRNA from 1 species